UGAGUACAGUAAAGUCUUACAGUUCAAGUAUUUUAUGGUCCUCAUUCAGGAAAUGGCCUUAAAAAUUGAUCAAGGGUUUCUAGGAGCUAUUAUUGCACUGUUUACCCCAACAACAGACCCUGAAGCUGAAAGAAGACGGACAAAGUUAAUCCAACAAGAUAUUGAUGCUCUAAAUGCAGAAUUAAUGGAGACUUCAAUGACUGAUAUGUCAAUUCUUAGUUUCUUUGAACAUUUCCAUAUUUCUCCUGUGAAGUUGCAUUUGAGUUUGUCUUUGGGUUCCGGAGGUGAAGAAUCAGACAAAGAAAAACAGGAAAUGUUUGCAGUUCAUUCUGUCAACUUGCUGUUGAAAAGCAUAGGUGCUACUCUGACUGAUGUGGAUGACCUUAUAUUCAAUAUCUUUGAAUCUUUCCUUUUUCUCCUCCCAGACUUGCUUAUUAUGAAAUUCGAUAUCAGUUCUACAAGAGAGAUCAGCUUAUAUGGAGUGUUGUUAGGCAUUACAGUGAACAGUUCUUGAAACAGAUGUAUGUCCUUGUAUUGGGGUUAGAUGUACUUGGAAACCCAUUUGG
rnacentral:lncRNA from 1 species